GAUGAACGCUGGCGGCGUGCCCCUCUAAGCAAGUCGAACGCGCAGCGAGAGGUGCUUGCACCUUUCAAGCGAGUGGCGAACGGGUGAGUAACACGUGUCUAACCUGCCUCAAGGCUGGGGAUAACAUUUGGAAACAAAUGCUAAUACCGAAUAAAACUUAUUAUCGCAUGAUAUCAAGUUAAAAGGCGCUACGGCGUCACCUAAAGAUGGAUCCGCGGUGCAUUAUUUAGUUGGGGGGGUAAAGGCUUACCAAAACAAUGAUGCAUAGCCAAGUUGAGAGACUGAUCGGCCACAUUGGGACUGAAACACGGCCCAAACUCCUACGGGAGGCUGCAGUAGGGAAUCUUCCACAAUGGGCGCAAGCCUGAUGGAGCAACGCCGCGUGUGUGAUGAAGGCUUUCGGGUCGUAAAGCACUGUUGUAUGGAAAGAAAUGCUAAAAUAGGGAAUGAUUUUAGUUUGACGGUACCAUACCAAAAAGGGACGGCUAAAUACGUG
rnacentral:rRNA from 1 species